rnacentral:lncRNA from 10 species
GGAGUCUUGCUCAGUCACCCAGGCUAGAGUGCAGUGCACAAUCUCAGCUCACUGCAACCUCCACCUCCCGGGUUCACGCCAUUCUCCCGCCUCAGCCUCCCGAGUAGCUGGGACUACAGAUGUCCUCCACGAUGCCCGACUAAUUUUUUUUUUUUUUUUGUAUUUUUAAUAGAGACGGGGUUUCACCAUGUUAGCCAGGAUGGUCUCGAUCUCCUGACUUCGAGAUCCACCCACCUCGGCCUCCCAAAGUGCUGGGAUUACAGGCAUGAGCCACCACACCCGGCGACUCAUUCUUAUACAACUACCUUUGUCAGCAUUCUUGCCAUUGGACUGUCUAGCCCUUGAUGCUGUUAUAUCAUGGCUUGUUGAUACAGAAGAUGCUACAUGAACUCAAGUGGAACUCUGACUGCCUUGAGAGCAUCCCACCAUCCAUUGCUGCUGCAUCAAGGUAUUAAAAAGAGAGACAGAAGGAAGAGGUGAGAGAAGCACAAGUUUAACAGUGUGAGGGCAUUUUGCUUAAUAAUAAGACAUUUCAUUAAAAUAUUAGCUACUUUUGUUAGCUAGCAACUCUUAAUUUUGCCUAAAGCUGACCCCAUAUCUAGGGUUAGGUUUUGAAAGAAAUUCAUCACCAUCAGAAGUAGGUCUGGAAGUUAUAAAGGAAAGCUUAAAAAAAAAACAGAUAUGUGCAACGCCUAUUUACAAAGAAUCCAUUGGGAAACCCCCAUUGAGCCCAGGUAGAUGGCACAUGUCCCCUUUGGUUGAUGAUAUCCACUCUCUCAUUUCCUAUAAAGCUCCCUGAUUGACAUGGUGGGGCUCUGUCCUCAGAGCAGCCCUUGUUUCCCCAGUUGCUUCUUGACCAUCUUGCAUAAUGUCUAUUUUGUGACAGGCACUUGCUGUAGGAUUGGGACCUAGAGUGCCCUGAGGCAGGAUUCUGACCCUCAAAAUGGGACCUUUUUUGGUGAUUGAUCCUGUCCAGAUGAGACUUCUCUUGGUUUGAGAUCUUCCACUGAGAGGCCGUUUCACCAACCAGGCUCUGAAAUUUCUGCUCAGCCUGAGUCUGGAGGGAUUCAGCUCCUACUCCCCCUCCUGGAGGCUGCCCAGAUGCCCCCCAGCUCUGUGCCCCUACCCAGCCAUCAGAGUCCCUUCCAGCCUUUGUCCAGGCUGGCCUGUCCUCCAGGACACUUGGCAGCUGGGACCCCACAGGACUCUCCCUCUGCUCUGCUCCAUCCUCGAAUCCUAAUGUCCCGGCUCUUGCCGUCCAACACUGUGUCUGCCCUUGCUAUCCCAGCCGCAGUCCCUUAACUCUUCCCUUCCUCCAAGAUGCAGUGAGAGAUGCCCAGUUGGAAGGAAACUUUUAUGGUCAUGUCCUUCUCCAACUUUCCUCUUUCUAUCAUUUUUGUCUCUUUUAAACCUCUCCUGUUGGCGCUGAAUUGGCAUAGGAUGCCACAGUCAAGGCUUGUACCUGUCGCUAGCGUGCACAUGCCACUUCUAUUCUUCACUUUGGCAAAGACCACACUUUAGUUUGCUGAUGGCCAAGUAGAUACAGGAAGUUCCCAGUUGCUUGGGCCAGAAAGAAAGAGAGGCCCCAGGUGGACCUGAUGACCCCCCUAAACCCCUACCUGGACCUCACCAGGAUCCAGUCAAGAGGCCAGUCUCUUGGCCCAGGCCCCCACCUCUUUCCUCCAGAAAUGACUUACUAGGGCUUCUUCAGAGCCUGGAGUUAGUGACAGGGAAGCUGGCUCUCCAGCCUAGGCCUCUGGCAGGUGCCUCAGCGAUGUCCAAUCCAAUCAGUGUGAUGACCAGGGACAGCACUGGAUUGGCCUUCAACCCCAGAUUAAUAAUCAACCAUCCUUAGAACUACUGUGUCCUGGGCAGCUCUCCAGGGCUGCUGGCAGGGUCUCCAGCACAGCACUGGGUGGCUCUCUACAUUAGUGCCCUAACCCCCUCCUCUACUACCCCCUCUCAGGCAUCCAUCUCUAUGACUCAGCGCCUCUGAGCUUCCAGAGUCACAGGUUCCCAGGGUAGUUUUCUUCAGAUAUUUAUUUUCAGAAGAAUGCAUAGAUUUUCCACCAGACAAACGCAUGCACACACACACACACACAUACAAACACACGCACACAAACACGCACAUGUGUACACAUCUUUGUAUCAGUUGAUCGGACUACUUCCAUUUGUGUUUUGUUUAUUGCAGGACUGGGGUGGAGAGACUAAAUACCCCUAGCACUGAGUCACCUCCUUCCUCUUUUCUCAUUUAGAAUGUUUGUCAAAUGUCUUCUUUGGGCACCUCACAGGGCCAGGCACAAGGGGAAGGGGUAUUUGCAGCUGACUUCAAUCCAAAGCUGAAUGUGGAUGUUGGCACCUGCUGCUCCCUCUCUCCAGACAUCUCCCUGUAUCUUUGCUUAUUUGGUUUCAUAUUUAUUGACCAUCAACCACCCCCCAUCCCUGUAGAACGAGAAGCUCAUGAGAACAGGGGUCUUGUUCUCUAGCUUUUGUUUCUCCACCGAGAAGAGUGCCUGGAAACAGAGUCAAUGCUCAAUAAACAUUUAUGGAACAAAUGAAUCCUCCAGCAGCGUGUCCUCAAAUCAGCCCUCUUCUCUCUGACGGGAGCUACCAUCUGUGCCCCCUUUACCAGUGAUCUCACUUUUCUAGGGCAGGAGCUGUACUCAGUUCACAUCUCUGUUCCCAGGGUGCAGUCCAGGGCUGGGCACAGAGGAGGAUUGGGUACAAGGAUGAAGAGAGAGGCAGAGACCUCGAGCAGACACCAGACCAUCUGUGCUCAUCCAGGCCUGAAUUUCUGGAAGUGUCCAGUUCUUGUCACCAGAGCCUGGUCAAGCCAUUCAGAUCCUGGAUGUGACCUUUAAUGCUUGCCUUCCUCCAAACUCACACUCAUUCUUUGAAACACUUCAUGUCAUCAAAUAACUUCAGAGGUUUGUUUUUCGCAGGUGGGGAGUAGGGUGGGUCACUUCCCUGUGACUCUGCCUUGUGAUGGACAUUUUGGUUUCUCAAGUGUCCUCACCCUGUGUACUCAUGUCAUCAGACCCCCAUCCAGCGGUCCUCCUGGUUCCCAUUCAGGGCGCCUGCCAGGCACCAAGAGGGGCCCUCGAGGUAAAGAAGAUCACUCUCAGGGCUGGGUUUCCUGAUGCCAUUGACACAAUAUUGAAGGGCCCAUAGACCCAGAAGACAAAGGACUUUCAGUUCACACAGCAAAUAGGCAGAUCUCCCAGGAAGGUGGGAAUGUGAAACUGACAGAUUUGCGUUAAACCAGGAUCCUAACUGUGCCACAGACUCAGAGAAAGGGUGGUUUUGAGUGGGCAGAGGGCAGGCAGGAGGUAAAUACACCUAGGAGCAAAGAAACCUGGAUUCUGGAGGGGACGAGUUUCUCCCCCAAGGAUGUGUACCCAUAGGUCUGUCCUCUCAUAGACUCGGAGGUGAAUUUAUGCUGCUCUUAUGACUAUUACUGAAUUUUGCUAUUUAUGCCAAGAUGAAAAACUGCGUUUCCAGUGUCUCAGAGCAGCAUGAUCUCCUGCAUUGUGGAAACAUAAACGCAGUGGAGAACCACACCUAUAGCUCAGGCACCUCAGUGGUGUCUCAGAUGGAGGCCAGG